rnacentral:rRNA from 1 species
GACGAAGGGGGCAAGCGUUGUUCGGAAUUACUGGGCGUAAAGGGCGCGCAGGCGGCUCUUUUAGUCAGGCGUGAAAGCCCUGGGCUCAACCUGGGAGUGGCGCUUGAUACUGGAGGGCUAGAGAGUGGGAGAGGUUGGUGGAAUUCCCAGUGUAGAGGUGAAAUUCGUAGAUAUUGGGAAGAACACCGGUGGCGAAGGCGGCCAACUGGACCAUUUCUGACGCUGAGGCGCGAAAGCGUGGGGAGCAAACAGG